CCUGAGCAAGAGACUGGGAACGAAAUUGAAACAUAUUUACCUGAAGAUGAAACUGGAAGUUCAACUGACACCAAUUUACCUCAGACAGAACGUGAAAGUGAAGCAAACUUACCACGAAGGGAAAGUGACCCAAGCCUACAAAACAACAUACCAUGUGAGACUGAAACAGAUACUCAAAAAGGAAAAAAUGUUUUGUUGACCAGUUUGUCAGAUUCACCGUUGUCAGAGGACUCAACUAAUCAACCUUCACCUGAAAGACAAGUUGAAAAUGAGGACGAAACUGAAACUUUCCAAACAGAAACACAGGUCAGACGAUCUGAAAGAAUUCGCCAACCGUCCCAAAGACUCACUUAUCCUCAGCUAGGUAACCCACUAGUAACAGUGGUUAAAUCACUCUUUCAAGGAUUGAACAAAGCUCUUAUUGACUCCCUUGUUCCUGAUGUAGCCUAUCCCACUAGAGCCAUGCACGGGGACGUACAUGAGAUUUAAGAGGGGAGGAUGUAACCCCAGUUAGUUUUGCAUGACUCAGUAAUGCACUACAACAUUGUUAUUGUCAAAUUGUGAUUCACAAUUAGCCUGUUCAUCACUAAAUGGAGCUAAAGUAAAUUCAAAAUAAAAGAUGAAUGGUAUAAAUAUAAGAAUAAAACCCCGAGAAGUAAAUGUAAGACUCCUACUGGUUAAGAGGGAGCAAGCCCCGCCCUCACCUGCUCUGUAGCGUCGCAUGUGCUUACACACACACACACACACACACACACACAGAGAGACGGAUGCGCAUGAGACCAAUGUUGAUUUAAACUGAGUUAUUGCUGGAAAAAAAAAACACAACUAUUAACGUGAUAAAUUGAGCAAAUAUCCAUACCGGAAAUCUGCAAGGAUUUCGGAGGGACGAACUUGGAUGAACUUUUUGAACUUCGGAAUCAACGCGAUCUGCACGGGUGUGGAUGAAGCGGACAGGAUCUUCUCUAAGAGUGAACAUUUGAAGCGCGCUGGCUAGGUUUUUGUGGGACCGUGAGAUCUGGAUUUCUUCCUGACGAGGAAGAUGGCGAGCCUUUCUUUUUGAAUCGAACCGGAGCCAUUCCGAGUUGGCCCAGAAGGGCAGGUCGCUCUUCUUUCAUGAACAAUCACAACAGUGCGGUAGGACGAAAUCGCACCAAUCACAGACUUUUGACUUUUGGGAUUUUACUUGACUGAACACUGACUAUUACGCUGGCAAGACUGACAUAUCUGAGCUCAGAUAGGGUUGGGGAAUUACUAUUGCUGUUGUUUUUAUUUUAUAUUUCCAUUCCUGUAGAAAGAGUUGUUUACUCAUUGUUAUACAUAUCAAUACAAUUCAAGACAAUUUUAUCUGUGACUCCAGUCAUUCUUCUCCAUGCAACUCACUUUAUCCCUCCUGCGAAUCUAGCUAUUGGCCCAUUUUCUCCAUUUUACCAUAACCUA